rnacentral:rRNA from 1 species
GUGGGGAAUAUUCCGCAAUGGACGAAAGUCUGACGGAGCAACGCCGCGUGAGUGAUGAAGGUUUUCGGACUGUAAAGCUCUGUUGUUUAGGACGAAAGUGCCUGUUGCAAAUAGUUACAGGUAUUGACGGUACUGAACGAGGAAGCCACGGCUAACUACGUGCCAGCAGCCGCGGUAAUACGUAGGUGGCAAGCGUUGUCCGGAAUUAUUGGGCGUAAAGAGCAUGUAGGCGGGAAUCUAAGUCUGUUGUGAAAAUGCGGGGCUCAACCCGGUAUUGCGAUGGAAACUGGGUUUCUUGAGUGCAGGAGAGGAAAGGGGAAUUCCCAGUGUAGCGGUGAAAUGCGUAGAUAUUGGGAGGAACACCAGUGGCGAAGGCGCCUUUCUGGACUGUGUCUGACGCUGAGAUGCGAAAGCCAGGGUAGCGAACGGGAUUAGAAACCCGUGUAGUCC